rnacentral:rRNA from 1 species
GGUGCAUGGUUGUCGUCAGCUCGUGUCGUGAGAUGUUGGUUAAGUCCGCAACGAGCGCAACCCUAUUGUUAGUUGCCAUCAUUCAGUUGGGCACUCUAGCGAGACUGCCGGUAAUAAACCGGAGGAAGUGGGGAUGACGUCAAAUCAUCAUGCCCCUUAUGACCUGGGCUACACACGUGCUACAAUGGUUGGUACAACGAGUUGCGAGUCGGUGACGGCGAGCUAAUCUCUUAAAGCCAAUCUCAGUUCGGAUUGUAGGCUGCAACUCGCCUACAUGAAGUCGGAAUCGCUAGUAAUCGCGGAUCAGCACGCCGCGGUGAAUACGUUCCCGGGCCUU